GCGGUGAAAAAAAACUAAGAUUAUGUGUUCCGUCAACUGAUUACUCGAUUCUUAAAAACACUGAUUUGGUAUUACGAGAUACGUGAUCG